GGCUCACCAAGGCGACGAUCCGUAACUGGUCUGAGAGGAUGAUCAGUCACACUGGAACUGAGACACGGUCCAGACUCCUACGGGAGGCAGCAGUGGGGAAUAUUGGACAAUGGGCGAAAGCCUGAUCCAGCCAUGCCGCGUGUGUGAAGAAGGUCUUCGGAUUGUAAAGCACUUUAAGUUGGGAGGAAGAGCAGUUACCUAAUACGUGAUUGUUUUGACGUUACCGACAGAAUAAGCACCGGCUAACUCUGUGCCAGCAGCCGCGGUAAUACAGAGGGUGCAAGCGUUAAUCGGAAUUACUGGGCGUAAAGCGCGCGUAGGUGGUUUGUUAAGUUGGAUGUGAAAUCCCCGGGCUCAACCUGGGAACUGCAUUCAAAACUGACUGACUAGAGUAUGGUAGAGGGUGGUGGAAUUUCCUGUGUAGCGGUGAAAUGCGUAGAUAUAGGAAGGAACACCAGUGGCGAAGGCGACCACCUGGACUAAUACUGACACUGAGGUGCGAAAGCGUGGGGAGCAAACAGG
rnacentral:rRNA from 1 species